rnacentral:rRNA from 1 species
AUCAGCCGGUACUCGCGAAUGCACCUCAGGAUUAAGUUUGAUCAUGGCUCAGAUCGAACGCUNUACGGCAGGCCUAACACAUGCAAGUCGAAGCGGAUGAUGGGAGCUUGCUCCCGGAUUCAGCGGCGGACGGGUGAGUAAUGCCUAGGAAUCUGCCUGGUAGUGGGGGACAACGUUUCGAAAGGAACGCUAAUACCGCAUACGUCCUACGGGAGAAAGCAGGGGACCUUCGGGCCUUGCGCUAUCAGAUGAGCCUAGGUCGGAUUAGCUAGUUGGUGGGGUAAAGGCCUACCAAGGCGACGAUCCGUAACUGGUCUGAGAGGAUGAUCAGUCACACUGGAACUGAGACACGGUCCAGACUCCUACGGGAGGCAGCAGUGGGGAAUAUUGGACAAUGGGCGAAAGCCUGAUCCAGCCAUGCCGCGUGUGUGAAGAAGGUCUUCGGAUUGUAAAGCACUUUAAGUUGGGAGGAAGGGCAGUAAGUUAAUACCUUGCUGUUUUGACGUUACCAACAGAAUAAGCACCGGCUAACUUCGUGCCAGCAGCCGCGGUAUACGAAGGGUGCAAGGCGUUAACAUCGGAAUUACUGGGCGUAAAGCGCGCAUAGGUGGUCNUGGUCAAGAUGGAUGUGAACAUCCCCGGGGCUCAACCUGGGAACUGCAUCAUAACUGCUGACUAGAGUACGGUAGAAGGGUUGGUGGAAUUUCCUGUGUAGGCGGUGAAAUGCGUACAUUUGGAAGGACACCAGUUGCNAAGCGAACACUGNAUGAUCUGAC